UACGUAGGGGGCGAGCGUUGUCCGGAUUUAUUGGGCGUAAAGAGCGUGUAGGCGGUUCGGUAAGUCUGUCGUGAAAUCCUGAGGCUCAACCUCGGGCGUGCGAUGGAUACUGCCGGGCUAGAGGGUGGUAGAGGCGAGUGGAAUUCCUGGUGUAGCGGUGGAAUGCGCAGAUAUCAGGAGGAACACCAAUAGCGAAGGCAGCUCGCUGGGACGUUACUGACACUGAGGCGCGAAAGCGUGGGGAGCGAACAGG
rnacentral:rRNA from 1 species